rnacentral:rRNA from 1 species
UACAGAGGUCUCAAGCGUUGUUCGGAUUCAUUGGGCGUAAAGGGUGCGUAGGUGGCGAGGCAAGUCAGAUGUGAAAUCCCGGGGCUCAACCCCGGGACGCUUCGAAACUGUCGAACUUGAGUGCAGAAGAGGCAACUGGGAAUUCCCAGUGUAGCGGUGAAAUGCGUAGAUAUUGGGAAGAACACCUGAGGCGAAGGCGGGUUGCUGGGCUGACACUGACGCUGAGGCGCGAAAGCCAGGGGAGCGAACGGG